CCUACGGGAGGCAGCAGUGAGGAAUAUUGGUCAAUGGGCGCGAGCCUGAACCAGCCAAGUCGCGUGAAGGAUGACUGCCCUACGGUUUGUAAACUUCUUUUAUAAGGGAAUAAAACGAGGCACGUGUUCCUUUUUACAUGUCCUUUAUGAAUCAGGCUCGGCUAACUCCGUGCCAGCAGCCGCGGUAAUACGGAGGAUCCGAGCGUUAUCCGGAUUUUUUGGGUUUAAAGGGAGCGUAGAUGGGUGGUUAAGUCAGUUGUGAAAGUUUGGGGCUCAACCGUAAAAUUGCAAUUGAUACUGGCCGUCUUGAGUACAGGUGAGGUAGGCGGAAUUCGGGGUGUAGCGGUGAAAUGCUUAGAUAUAACGAAGAACCCCGAUUGCGAAGGCAGCUUACUAAACUUUGACUGACAUUGAUGCGCGAAAGUGUGGGUAUCAAACAGGAUUAGAUACCCGAGUAGUC
rnacentral:rRNA from 1 species